rnacentral:tRNA from 1 species
UAGUGGAGCGGUUUAACACGCCUGCCUGUCACGCAGGAGAUCGCGGGUUCGAUUCCCG